rnacentral:rRNA from 1 species
UACGUAGGGGGCGAGCGUUGUCCGGAGUGACUGGGCGUAAAGCGCGCGCAGGCGGUUAGACACGCCGGUCGUGAAAGCCCCCGGCUCAACCGGGGCGGGUCGAUCGGGACGGUCUGACUGGAGGGUGUCAGAGGGGGGUGGAACGCCGCGUGGAGCAGUGAAAUGCGUAGAUAUGCGGCAGAACACCGGAGGCGAAGGCGGCCCCCUGGGGCACAUCUGACGCUGAGGCGCGAAGGCGCGGGGAGCGAACGGG